rfam:Xylona heveae TC161 unplaced genomic scaffold L228scaffold_6, whole genome shotgun sequence.
GUCGUGAUGUCCGAGUGGUUAAGGAGAGAGACUCGAAUUCUUGGAAGUUUGUGAUCUCUUGGCUUCGGCCGCGCAAGUUCGAAUCUUGUUCACGACG